rnacentral:lncRNA from 1 species
GGGUGUAGGUUUAGUUCCAAUUUCUCUGAGUUUUUCUGCCCCAGUUUGAAGGGGUUGUUGGUUCUCUUGUUGAGUUGGACUUGCUUCUACUCUUAGUACUCCUCGGACCUUGAGCACUAUACUUAUUUUAGUGCCAGCAUUUGCGUAUCGUAUUCCAAGGUUGAGAGUUUAGCCUUCAUCUAUGUUACCUCUCCAGAUGGG